GCCGACGUAGCUCAAUUAGGCAGAGCACCUCACUUGUAAUGAGGGGGUUGGAGGUUCAAUUCCUCUCGUCGGCU
rnacentral:tRNA from 1 species